UCUAUGGGGCAGUUAUGGGGUUCCUGUGGGUCCCUGUGUGUCCCUAUGUGUCUCUAUGGGUCUCUAUGGGGUCUCUAUGGCGUCUUUAUGGGUCUCUAUGGGGUCUCUAUGGGGUCUCUAUGGGUCUCUAUGGGGUCUCUGUGGGUCUCUAUGGGGCAGUUAUGGGGUUCCUGUGGGUCCCUAUGUGUCCCUAUGUGUCUCUGUGGGUCUCUAUGGGUCUCUAUGGGGUUUUUAUGGGGUCUCUCUGGGUCUUAAUGGGAAUGGGGCUCUAUGGGUCGCAAUGGGGUAGAUAUGGGGUCCCUAUGGGUCCCUAUGGUCUCUAUGGGGUCAGUGGAGUCCAUCUGGGGUUCUAAGGGGAUCUAUGGGUCUCUCUAUGGGGUCUCUAUGGGGUCUAUGGGGUUCCUGUGGGUCCCUAUGUGUCUCUAUGGGGUCUCUAUGGGUCUCUAUGGGGUUUUUAUGGGGUCUCUCCCGGUCUCAGUGGGGCUCUAUGGGUCGCUAUGGGGCAGAUAUGGGGUCCCUAUGUGUCUCUAUGGGUCUCUAUGGGGUGUGUGGGGUCCAUAUGGGGUUUUAUGGGGAUCUAUGUGUCUCUCUAUGGGUCUCUAUGGGGUCUCUUCGGGGUCCAUAUGGGAUUCUGUGGGUCUCUAUGGGUCUCUAUGGGGUCUCUAUGGAUCUCUGUGGGUCCCUAUGGGUCUCUAUGGGGUCUCUGUGGGGUCUCUGUGGGGUCUCUGUGGGGUCUCUCUAUGGGGUUUCUCUUUGGGGUCUCUAUGGGGUUUCUCAAUGGGGACCCUAUGAGGUCUCUUUGGGUCUCUAUGGGUCGCUGUGUGUCGCUAUGGGUCGCUAUGGAUCUCUGUGGGUCUCUAUGGGUCUCUAUGGGUCGCUGUGGGUCUCUAUGGGUCUCUAUGGGUCACUGUGGGUCGCUAUGGGUCGCUAUGGGUCUCUGUGGGUCGCUAUGGGUCGCUGUGGGUCGCUGUGGGUCGCUAUGGGUCGCUAUGGGUCUGUGUCUGUCCCUCAGCUCUCCCUGCCCUGGCCGCUGUGACCGCAAUGGACGCUGCAGGCGCUGUGCUGAUAACACUCAGGUGGGGCAGCUGUGGGGCAGCUGUGGGGCUGGGUGUGGGGCUGGUGGGGGGCAGCUAUGGGGCAAUUGUGGGGCUGGACGUGGGUCUGAUUUGGGGCAGCUAUGGGGCAGCUGUGGGGCAGCUAUGGGGCUGGAUGUGGGUCUGAUUUGGGGCAGCUAUGGGGCAGUUGUGGGGCAGCUAUGGGGCUGGAUGUGGGUCUGAUGGGUGCAGCUAUGGGGCAGGUGUGGGGCUGGGUGCUGUGGGGCAGGGUUUGGGGCGGCUGUGGGGCUGCUAUAGGGCAGGGUGUGGGGGGAUAUGGGGUGGGGUGUGGGGCAGGAAUUUGUGGGGUGCUGUGGGGCAGCUGUGGGUCCGGCUGUGGGAUCUGUGGGGCAGCUGUGGGGUGGCUGUGGGGCUCUGCGGAUCUGUGGGGUUUCUCUGCGUGCCCCUUUAUGCCCCUAUGUGUCCCUAUAUGCCCCUAUAUGACCCUAUAAGGCCCCCCAUAGCCCUACAGGACCCUAUAUGACCCUAUAUGACCCUAUAAGGCUCCCCAUAGCCCUACAGGACCCUAUAUGCCCCUAUAUGACCCUAUAAGGCUCCCUAUAGCCCUAUAUGCUCCUAUAUGCCCAUAUAUGUCCCUGUAUGAUCCUACAUGACCCUAUAAGGCCCCUAUGGCCCUAUAUGUCCCUAUAUGCCCCUGUACACCCCUAUACACCCCUAUACGACCCUAUAUGUGCCUAUCCGCCCCUAUAUGACCCUAUACAUCCGUAUCUGCCCCUAUACGGCCCCAUACAUCCCUAUAUGACCCUAUACAGCCCUAUAUGACCCAGUAUGGCCCUACCCACCCCUAUAGGGUCCUAUACGUCCCUAUAUGACCCUAUAUGCCCCUAUCUGCCCCUAUCCGCCCCUAUAUGACCCUAUACAUCCCUAUAUGACCCUAUAUGGCCCUAUGUGCCCUUAUACGGCUCUAUAAAGCCCUAUAUGACCCUAUAAGGCUCUCUAUGGCCCUAUACGUCCCUAUAUGACCUUACAUGACCCUAUAAUGCCCCCUUUGGCCCUAUACGUCCCUAUACGUCCCUAUAUGCUCCUAUAUAUCCCUAUAUGACCCUAUAAGGCCCCCUGUGGCCCUAUAAGUCCCUGUAUGACCCUAUACGUCCCUAUCCGCCCCUAUACGACCCUAUACACCCCUAUAUGACCCUAUACGGCCCUACCCGCCCCUAUAUGA
rnacentral:lncRNA from 1 species